rnacentral:rRNA from 1 species
UACGAAGGGGGCAAGCGUUGUUCGGAAUGACUGGGCGUAAAGGGCGCGUAGGCGGUUUGUUGCGUCAGAUGUGAAAGCCCCGGGCUCAACCUGGGAACUGCAUUUGAUACGGGCAAGCUUGAAUCCAAGAGAGGGUGGUGGAAUUCCCAGUGUAGAGGUGAAAUUCGUAGAUAUUGGGAAGAACACCAGUGGCGAAGGCGGCCACCUGGCUUGGUAUUGACGCUGAGGCGCGAAAGCGUGGGGAGCAAACAGG